rnacentral:lncRNA from 1 species
CAAGAUUCAUGACAAUCUGACUUGAAUCUCCUUUUCCACUGUCAUCUUACCUCCUUAUUCAAGGUAUGCUUCAGUCACUGUAGGAGUCUUAUUUAUGUUCCUUGAACACAUCCUUUUUUUUUUUUUUUUUUUUUUUUUUCAUUUUCUCUGUUGGUUUCUCUGCUGUUUUGAGCUUCUUAUUCUGUAUCUUGAACUUGAAUAUUGACAUUAAUCUCACAAUUUUAAAUUACGAUAUUCUUACUUUGGCAGGCUAUUACCCAUUGACAUACUUGCAUAAAACACAUUUUCUAACACUCUGUUAGCUGUUGGGUAUAAUUAACCAAUAAAGGCAAAGAAUGAUGGUAAGAUCUCUUUCUCUGAUUUUAGAUUCUGCCUACUUUUUGGUGAAGGGAACUCUUGUUCUGUUUCCCAUUGUAUUUUCAUAUUUGCUCCCUUAUCCUUUUCUAUUGGCAUGACUUUUUCUGUCAGCUGCAUUCAGGUCAUAUUUCCUGUAUCACCACUCUGGCAACUAGCAAUUCUCUGUUCUUCUCCAACUGUGGUUAUGCAGAGAUUGGUGGCAUUGACUUUUGGGGGCCAGGCCAAAUGGAUUUCUGUGUCUGUUGGAAUGGACUUAUUUUUGGAAAACACAAGAAGGUGACAUUAGAAGGCAGUAAGUGAAAAAAUUCCUUUUCCCUGUUUUAUUUCUCCUCCUAUGUGAAAAUAGAGGAAAUUGUGCUAAAAAUAAAUAUUUCAACUUCCCACUCA